UACGAAGGGGGCUAGCGUUGCUCGGAAUCACUGGGCGUAAAAGCGCACGUAGGCGGCUUUUUAAGUCAGAGGUGAAAUCCCUGGAGCUCAACUCCAGAACUGCCUUUGAUACUGAGAGGCUUGAGUCCGGGAGAGGUGAGUGGAACUGCGAGUGUAGAGGUGAAAUUCGUAGAUAUUCGCAAGAACACCAGUGGCGAAGGCGGCUCACUGGCCCGGUACUGAGCGCUGAGGUGCGAAAGCGUGGGGAGCAACAGG
rnacentral:rRNA from 1 species